UGAGUAACCUGCCGUCCCACGGGGGAUAGCCGGCCCAACGGCCGGGUAAUACCGCAUACGCUCUUUGGUCGGCAUCGACCUUUGAGGAAACUUCCGGGGUGGGACGAGGGGCUCGCGGCCUAUCAGCUAGUUGGUGGGGUCAUGGCUCACCAAGGCGACGACGGGUAGCUGGU
rnacentral:rRNA from 1 species